GGUGGCGAGUGGCGAACGGGUGAGUAAUAUAUCGGAACGUGCCCAGUCGUGGGGGAUAACGCAGCGAAAGCUGUGCUAAUACCGCAUACGAUCUCUGGAUGAAAGCGGGGGACUCGCAAGGGCCUCGCGCGAUUGGAGCGGCCGAUAUCAGAUUAGCUAGUUGGUGGGGUAAAGGCCCACCAAGGCGACGAUCUGUAGCUGGUCUGAGAGGACGACCAGCCACACUGGAACUGAGACACGGUCCAGACUCCUACGGGAGGCAGCAGUGGGGAAUUUUGGACAAUGGGCGCAAGCCUGAUCCAGCAAUGCCGCGUGCAGGAUGAAGGCCUUCGGGUUGUAAACUGCUUUUGUACGGAACGAAACGGUCUGCCUUAAUACGGUGGGCUAAUGACGGUACCGUAAGAAUAAGCACCGGCUAACUACGUGCCAGCAGCCGCGGUAAUACGUAGGGUGCGAGCGUUAAUCGGAAUUACUGGGCGUAAAGCGUGCGCAGGCGGUUAUAUAAGACAGAUGUGAAAUCCCCGGGCUCAACCUGGGACCUGCAUUUGUGACUGUAUAGCUAGAGUACGGUAGAGGGGGAUGGAAUUCCGCGUGUAGCAGUGAAAUGCGUAGAUAUGCGGAGGAACACCGAUGGCGAAGGCAAUCCCCUGGACCUGUACUGACGCUCAUGCACGAAAGCGUGGGGAGCAAACAGGAUUAGAUACCCUGGUAGUCCACGCCCUAAACGAUGUCAACUGGUUGUUGGGUCUUCACUGACUCAGUAACGAAGCUAACGCG
rnacentral:rRNA from 1 species